rnacentral:rRNA from 1 species
CACGUAGGAGGCGAGCGUUGUCCGGAAUCAUUGGGCGUAAAGAGCGCGCAGGCGGCUUGGCAAGUCGGGUGUGAAAUCCCGGGGCUCCAACCCCGUGACUGCAUCCGAUACUGUCAGGCUAGAGGUAGGUAGGGGAGAUCGGAAUUCCUGGUGUAGCGGUGAAAUGCGCGAUAUCAGGAGGAACACCGGUGGCGAAGGCGGAUCUCUGGGCCUUACCUGACGCUGAGGCGCGAAAGCUAGGGGAGCGAACAGG